AGUAGCUGCCUUAGGGGGUCUUUACCUUAGCAAUUCAUUUGGCAGAAAGAAGCAAUCUCGUGCAUUUUGAGGAGAAGAAAAGAACCCAUGUGCUAGGGUUCAAGUGGGACGAAGCCCAGAAGAAUGAUCAGACCUGGGAAGGAGGUCAGCUCAUAAGGUGAUCGGAUCAGAAGGAUGAUCAGACGUGCAAAGCUUGAACGAUUCCUGGUCAUAGUUAGUUGGAGUGGAAUCGAGAAGCUUCCGAGUAUUCCAAACUUGGAAAUCGAUGACAUAAAAUGUCUAGCAGAGUAAUACUGAACAGAAAAAGCGACGUAAACAGAGUACUCUCUGAUCCAUUCAGUCACACUCAACGCUUGCACCAUCUUCAUCGCACGACAACCAAAUCAUUUUUCGAAUACAUUCAUUCAAUAGGUAUCAUGGAGAGUAAUGGGAACUUGGUAAAGCAUGUCGAGAAACAAACCACUCGAGUUUUGUUUUGUGGACCCCAUUUCCCUGCUUCUCAUGAAUAUACAGCAGAGUAUUUGCAAAAUCAUCCCAGUACCAAGGUUGAUGUUCUCUCUUUUGAAGAUGUGCGCAAGGAUAUUGCCAACUAUAAUGUCUGCAUAGUAAAAAGCAUUAGGCUAGAUUCUGAUAUAAUUUCUUGUACCGCUCAGAUGCAGCUGAUAAUGCAGUAUGGUGUUGGGCUGGAAGGUGUUGAUAUUGAUGCCGCAACAAAGCAUGGAAUCAAAGUUGCCAGGAUCCCAAGUGAUGUUACAGGAAAUUCAACUUCAUGUACUGAAAUGGCCAUAUAUCUAAUGCUAGGUCUCCUCCGAAAGCAUAAUGAACUGCAAGUUUCCAUACAACAGAAGAAGCUUGGAGAGCUAAUUACUGAAACUCUAUUUGGUAAAACUGGUGCGCUUCUGGUAAAUAUUGCUAGAGGUGGUAUUGUGGACUAUGAGGCUGUGAUAAACAACCUUGAAUCAGGUCACUUAGGAGGGUUAGGCACUGAUGUUGCUUGGACUGAGCCGUUUAACCCUGAUGACCAGAUAUUUAAAUUUAAGAAUGUUAUCAUGACUCCUCAUGUUGCAGGCGUCACAGAACAUUCUUAUAGAUCCAUGGCUAAGGCUGUUGGUGAAGUUGUUCUUCAGCUUCAUGCAGGGCUUCCUUUGACAGGAAUAGAGUUAGUUAAUUGAUUUACGACAAACAAAUCAUUUCAUUAUUGUCCACUUCCUGAAUUUUAUGAUUUAAGAAAAAUUAUGAGACUGUUAGUGAUGUUGCUCUUCAGCUUCAUGCCGGGCUUCCUUUGACAGGGAUACAGUUAGUUAAUUGAUUUAGUGCUAACAAAUCAUUUCCACUUCCUGAAUUUUAUGAUUUAAGAAGAAUUCUAAGGUGCCAAGACACUGCAAUUUGAAAAGAAAAUUGAGAUCAGACUAUGUUAUGUGUUGUCCAUUUGUUGUUUAGUGUAAUGAGCUGUGGAAACCAAAUUUAUGUUGCCUAUUAUAUGCAGACAACUAAUGUUUAUUA